GACGAACGCUGGCGGCGUGCUUAACACAUGCAAGUCGAACGGAAAGGCCCUGCUUUUGUGGGGUGCUCGAGUGGCGAACGGGUGAGUAACACGUGAGUAACCUGCCCUUGACUUUGGGAUAACUUCAGGAAACUGGGGCUAAUACCGGAUAGGAGCUCCUGCUGCAUGGUGGGGGUCGGAAAGUUUCGGCGGUUGGGGAUGGACUCGCGGCUUAUCAGCUUGUUGGUGGGGUAGUGGCUUACCAAGGCUUUGACGGGUAGCCGGCCUGAGAGGGUGACCGGCCACAUUGGGACUGAGAUACGGCCCAGACUCCUACGGGAGGCAGCAGUGGGGAAUAUUGCACAAUGGGCGGAAGCCUGAUGCAGCAACGCCGCGUGCGGGAUGACGGCCUUCGGGUUGUAAACCGCUUUCGCCUGUGACGAAGCGUGAGUGACGGUAAUGGGUAAAGAAGCACCGGCUAACUACGUGCCAGCAGCCGCGGUGAUACGUAGGGUGCGAGCGUUGUCCGGAUUUAUUGGGCGUAAAGGGCUCGUAGGUGGUUGAUCGCGUCGGAAGUGUAAUCUUGGGGCUUAACCCUGAGCGUGCUUUCGAUACGGGUUGACUUGAGGAAGGUAGGGGAGAAUGGAAUUCCUGGUGGAGCGGUGGAAUGCGCAGAUAUCAGGAGGAACACCAGUGGCGAAGGCGGUUCUCUGGGCCUUUCCUGACGCUGAGGAGCGAAAGCGUGGGGAGCGAACAGGCUUAGAUACCCUGGUAGUCCACGCUGUAAACGGUGGGUACUAGGUGUGGGGUCCAUUCCACGGGUUCCGUGCCGUAGCUAACGCUUUAAGUACCCCGCCUGGGGAGUACGGCCGCAAGGCUAAAACUCAAAGGAAUUGACGGGGCCCCGCACAAGCGGCGGAGCAUGCGGAUUAAUUCGAUGCAACGCGUAGAACCUUACCUGGGUUUGACAUGGGUCGGGAGUGCUCAGAGAUGGGUGUGCCUCCUUUGGGGUCGGUUCACAGGUGGUGCAUGGCUGUCGUCAGCUCGUGUCGUGAGAUGUUGGGUUAAGUCCCGCAACGAGCGCAACCCUUGUUCACUGUUGCCAGCACGUUAUGGUGGGGACUCAGUGGAGACCGCCGGGGUCAACUCGGAGGAAGGUGGGGAUGACGUCAAGUCAUCAUGCCCCUUAUGUCCAGGGCUUCACGCAUGCUACAAUGGCUGGUACAGAGAGUGGCGAGCCUGUGAGGGUGAGCGAAUCUCGGAAAGCCGGUCUCAGUUCGGAUUGGGGUCUGCAACUCGACCUCAUGAAGUCGGAGUCGCUAGUAAUCGCAGAUCAGCAACGCUGCGGUGAAUACGUUCCCGGGGCU
rnacentral:rRNA from 1 species